UAAGCUCACCUGUUGCAUUUGCUUCCCACUGGAUUCUCCCGUUACACUUCCUAUGAUACUCCUUAUCAUUGUGCCUGUGACUCUGCCUCUGUCCUUCCCUGGUGCCUGCUGUCAUCCAGACAUGGAUUCCCAGGGAACCUGGGCGGCAUUUGUUUGUGGGCCAAAAUGAAACAUCAACAUUACGGGAAGAUAAGAGCAAAGGGAGAAAGAGAAGAUGGAUGUCUGAGGUGGUUUCAUUACUCAGGGUCACGGGGGAGCUGGUGCCUAUCUCCUGCAGUCUACAGAUGAGAGGCGGCGUACAGCCUGGGCAGGUCACCAGUCCAUGAUACAAAACAAACUAAUGCAUUUCUGCAGACACUGCAGUGGUCUCUUGUCCUGGUCCUGAGCUGCAGCAAAGCACCACAAGAAUGAGACUCUCGUCAAAAGUGGCUGAAUGAGCUUCGUUUCUGGGAUGCCUGGACUCUUCCUUAAGGAUUAGAUGAUUUCAGCUGUUUUGGAAGAGCUCAGAUCUGAACUCUGACUGGAGCAAAAGGUGCACUGAGUGGCUGGGAGGCAGAGUGAUCCAGACACACAGAUUGACACAUGCACACAUAUCGACACACAAAUGGAAACUUCUGCAAAGUAAAUUGAAAUAUUUAUUGUGCGGUGAAGCUCUUGCAAAAUGUGCUCAAUCAGAAAAUAAAGUGUGGUGGGCCAAGCAUUUCAAAGAAUAUGAAAAACGUUAAUAGUAGAAAUGGUAAAUUACAAAUUCUUUCAACUUAGAGUGACAAGAAACAGUUCCAGCAACAACUUUCAUAAUGUGGGCUUUUAAAGUAUUUUAUCUUGUGAUUGUUUUCAUGUUUUGUUCUUUAAUUUAAAAAUUCUAUGUUAUCCUAUGUUAUCCAACCAGGUGCCUUUAGACAAAUCAUUACAAAAUGUGGAUAAGAUUAUGCUGGGUUCAACAUUAAUCACGAAACCUAUGAGAAAUCUGGUCCUAUAUUAACUUAAAUUACAAUUUAAAUUUCUAAUAAGGGAGAAGCCUCUAUUUUAAGGGAUGUGUUGCGAUCCCACUGUAUUAUGAUUCAGGUUUUCUCUAGAUUCACUUUAUUAAAACAUCAGUAUUCAAAUACAUUUUCCAUGUAAUGCUGUAAAAUGUUUCUUUCAACUUUGCAAGCUCUGUGUCGGAAGGGUUUUUACAGAGCAAUAAAAAAUGAAUGUUUUGCUUC